rnacentral:snRNA from 1 species
AUCGCUUCUCGGCUCUUUUGAGCUAAGAUCAAGUGUAAUAUCUGUUCUUCUCAGUUUAAUACCUGGGACGGAAACGAUUCGUUUCCUCUAUGUAUUAAUCGGAUUUUUGAACUUGGAGUAUGGUGCUGGAGCUUGCUCCACCCUGCUCACGGGUUGUCCUGGUAUUGCAGUACCUCCAGGUUCGGCUCACGUUUC